GGAAGAACCAAAGCCGAAUGACUGCAGAGGGUAACUAGAAGUGGGCAAAAGACGGUUUGAAGAACCAAAGCCGAAUGACUGCAGAGGGUAACUAGAAGUGGGCAAAAGACGGUUUGAAGAA